ensembl:misc_RNA
AGCCCGGGGCUCCCCCGUGUUGCCUGGAUCUGACUUCUCUUAACCGAAAACCGCCUCGUAUUCUCUCUUGCACUGUGUUGGAGGAUCGAGUUGCCUGCCCUGUGG